rnacentral:misc_RNA from 1 species
AAAAUAUUAUCCGCUCCACCUACUUGGCUCGCAGAGCAAUCAAGUUUUUUCCAUGUCAUCUUCAAAAAUUUUACACUGUGACCUGGAUGUGAUAGAUUUAAGGUUCCAUCCACUUCGGCAGUUCUCCUCUCAAUCAAUUUAUUCACCAGAUGCCCACGUUUUGCAACACUUCGGGACAGCGGGUCUAAAUUAGGCACCUGCAUGCAUGCAGCAUAAUGAGCCCUUCUUUCAUUGAAGGAGGUUGACGUCAGCAGGAGCCAAUAAUCCUCUGUGAUUUUCCGGAAAUUCUUGAAAAGCUGUCUUCCGUAACAUGUUGCAACACUUUCUGGGUGGAACUGCAAUCCAUAGUGAGGCCUACUAGAAUGCAUGAUACCCAUGAGGACUUUUCCACCUUUCACAUCCUUUGAAUCAUCUGAUAGCUCCGACAUCCCAUUAAAAAUAUCUUUAUUUUCUUUGGACGCAUUUAAGAAUGAAUUGGAUCGUUUGACACCCUGGAAAGGGAGUGUCUCAGCUGUUGAGGUCCAAGCUAUAGGAAUGAGUUCCUUCGGAAGUGAUUUCGGGUCUAUUACAAGGGAAUGGUACCGUACCACCUUAAAUCCAGAACUUCUUCCUGAAGGAAUUUCAUGGAAUAAUUGACAACCAUUGUGCUCAAUAUCACUCAAACGACCAUGGAAAGGUUCAGGUGCAUGUACAACUUCAGCACCAUGCACAUAUCCCAAUGCCUGGUGACCAAGGCAGACGCCUAGUAUCGGGAUAUCAAUGCAUUCAAGCAAGAGCCUCAGGCAAAUUCCUAUAUCUGAUGGACAUGUUGGAGAGCCAGGACCAGGUGAUAUAACAAUAUUGUCAAACGUCCUUUCUUCGUACAGGUAAUGAUAAACUUCUUUCCAUGUCCACUCAUCAUUCCGAAUCACCACCGGAGGCAUUCCAUUAAUGAUUGAGAGCUCUUGGAAAAUAUUGUAAGUGUAACUGUCAUAGUUGUCAAUUAGUAGUGUGCGUACAAAUUCUAACUUCGGAACUGGCUCAUGUAAAAACUUUUUUCUUGUUCCCGAUGCAUCCAAAUGUCCAGGCACUAAAUGACUUGAAAUAAAUACCUUCCUUUCCUUACGGUUAUA